AAUGCCAGAGCCCCUUUUAAUUGUAUUAGUAAAACCCUAAGGUAUUAUAAGAGAAGGCAACGGCAACUCACUCCAGUAUUCUUGCCUGGAAAAUCCCAAGGAUGGAGGAGCCUGGUAGGCUGCAGUCCAUGGGGUCACAAAGAGUUGGACACGACUGAAGUGACGCAACAGCAGCAGCAACAGCAGCAAGUUCUGUUGCCCAAAUACGGGACAAUAAAAACCCCUCUAAGUAGAGGUUUGGAGAGUCUGAAUAUUUCCAGGAAAACCCAUAGAAGGGUCUUUUUCAAACCACAGAUAGGGGCAGAAAAGUAGGUGAGUAGAAAUAUCAGAAGUUUCUAACUUUGGUUUUUUAACUUUGGGAUAUGAACUGCUGAUUCAUUUUGGUAGCAGGAAAGUCCUUCUAAACUACAGUAGUACUAAGUGCUAACUACAGACUUAGGGCUUCCCAGGUGGCGCAGUGGUAAAGAAUCUGCCUGUCAAGGCAGGAGAUGCAAGAAUUGCCUGUUGGAUCAUUGGGUUGGGAAGAUCCGCUGGAGUAGGAAAUGGCAACUGACUCUAGUACUCUUGCCUGGAAAAUUCCAUGGACAGAGGAGUCUGGCAAGCCACAGUCCAUGGGAUUGCAAAGAAUUGGACACAAUUGAGUGACUGAGCAUGCAAAAAAAAAGUUAAUCCUACUCUUGGGUUUUAGAAGAAAAGACAUGUACAUUGAAAACAAGCACU
ensembl:lncRNA